AUAGAAGUAUUUUCGUCCGGGCGAAAUUUUUUUUAUUAAACACUUGCUAAAGAAUAAAUACAUUUUAAACAGUAGCUAAAGAGUAAAGACAUUUCUAAUUAGUGGCUAACUGUGUAUUUCUCCGCCAAAACGCCAAACUCACCUCGGCUAGUCUUCACCAAUAGCCUCUAAACAACUUAUAACAAAAUGGCAACAAUAUGGUUAACAUGUCAGAGACAAUAACCAGGGGACGAAAUGCAAUAGGGUAAUAGAAUUUCAACUUGUACAAAUUACAGUCUAGAGGCUUCACAGUACAUAUAUAUAUAUAUAUAUAUAUAUAUAUAUAUAUAUAUAUACUUAUAUAUAUAUAUAUCAAACCUGUUCAACUACACAAUGGAUAAACGUAAAAAAAAAUGCAUUCCAAAAAAAUUACAUGAUAGACAACAAGAAAGGCAACAUCCUUCUACACAUUACGAUUCCCAAUCUGUUUCAGCAUCACACAGUUCACAAUAUCACUCCACUUAUUGUAUGCUUCUUUCAGGCUAAAGUAGGAAGGCAUGCUCACAAAUCCAAUAUAAGUCUCAAGAAGCAGCAGCAGGUGCAGUGGAUGGGUUAAAAGCUUUUUGGUCUCCGCAAGUGAGUACUUCGUGAGGCCCUGCUUCCUCGCGACCAACACCCAUCAAGUCAAGAUAAUACUGGAAAUGGGAGAUGAUGUUGUUCAUGGCGUCAACAUCGCCUUGGCCACAAACACUAUCGCCAUAGAGAAUGUUCAUGGUCGUGCCAAAACCAGGAAGUCGUUUAGACAAAGUAUCAUUCUUUGUGGGUUUCCAAUUCCCAACAAAGGCAUCAUGAGCUGAAGGCUGACCCUUCUUCAUUGGGUUCAUCCACCUCCAAAUUGCAGCCUGGAAAGCCAUGGUAGCAUUUUGUUCAAUGUAUUCAGGAUGAUCUAACAGAUUUAGCUUGAGGGCUUCACCAAUAGCUCCAUAAUUGUAGUUCCUAGUAGAAUUACCAAUAUAAACAAACUCUUAAUACCUAUCAAAUAUAUAGUCAAGCACGCAAGCAGCUCAGACAUUAAGAAUGACAUUAGUAGGUACAUUUACUUGAAUUAGUAAUUGGAUUAGAACUCCUGCAAUCCUUUUCGAAACAGAUCAAGUGGAAUAAAUGCCUUUUUUCUUUUCUUUCUCCAUUUAGAACGAUAUGUAUUGUUCGGUGAAUUAAGUCUCUAAUCACAAAACUUUAUGUAAACCAACAAGAUAUUCCUGUAAUCUAAAAAAGCAAUCACAUGCCAAAUUUAGUAAGUGAUAAACCAACAAAGGAGUGCAUUCAAUUGACUCAAAUAAUGGCUUAAUGAAAAAUAUCAAUUUGUAACUGUUGUCAAAAGAUUAGUA
rnacentral:lncRNA from 1 species